UGUUCUGGGAUGUUAACUCUCCUUCCAUUUCCCUCGCUCCUCUGUGGAAUGGAUGAUGUAUCCCACAGAGCCCACAGUUCAGCCGGGGACCCCCUCUCCUCUGAAGAGUCAGGUGCUGCUGGGAUUAAAGUGGUUAUAUCUGUGUGUGGCUCUGGAAGGAGGGUGUCAGGAGCUGCCCCGUCUCAGAAAGGAGUGCCUUGGGGACAAAGCGAAGGGAAGAGACACCAAGACAGGCAGAGCCAAGGAGGGCUGAGAUGCUCACAGACAUCGGAGACACCAAUGUCUUCCCUUGAGCCUGGAUUGGUCCUGAUGAGAAUGUAUGCCCAGAAGUUCUGCGGCUGAGACACACCAAGCUGAGACACCAAUGUCUUCCCUUGAGCCUGGAUUGGUCCUCAUGAGAAUGUGUGCCCGGAAGUUCUGCGGCUGAGACACACCAAGCUGAGGAACUUCCGGCUUCGUCUUGAUUGACACAUCAUAAUGCGGCAGCUUAAUGAAGCACAUUAGGGUACUUCUGUAUACGCAUUGUGGACUGAUCAAAUCAGGGAAAUUAUUUAUGGGGUAACACUUAUUACCUUAAAUAUUUGUUAUUUCUUUGUGAUGAGAUAAUGUAUGAAUGUGUGUGUGUGUCAUGAGUGUGUGUGUCUGCACACACCCCGUCUUCCAAACCUUAUUUUGAUAAUGUAGUAGACUGUCAAAAAA